GACGUAGGGCGCGAGCGUUGUCCGGAUUUAUUGGGCGUAAAGAGCUCGUAGGCGGCUUGUCGCGUCGACUGUGAAAUCCCGCGGCUCAACUGCGGGUCUGCAGUCGAUACGGGCAGGCGUAGAGUUCGGUAGGGGGAGACUGGAAUUCCUGGGUGUAGCGGUGGAAAUGACGCAGAUAUCAGGAGGAACACCGAUGGCGAAGGCAGGUCUCUGGGCCGAUACUGACGCUGAGGAGCGAAAGCGUGGGGGAGCGAACAGG
rnacentral:rRNA from 1 species